rnacentral:rRNA from 1 species
AGGACGAACGCUGGCGGCGUGCCUAACACAUGCAAGUGGAGCGACGAACCGGGGCUUGCCCCGGGGCAGAGCCGCGAACGGGUGAGUAACACGUGGGUUACCUGCCCCGAUGACUGGGACAACCCGUCGAAAGACGGGCUAAUACCGGAUGUGCCCCUUGGGGGAAAGGAAGCUUCGGCCUCCGCAUCGGGAUGGGCCCGCGGCGCAUUAGCUUGUUGGUGGGGUAAUGGCUUACCAAGGCGACGAUGCGUAGCUGGUCUGAGAGGACGAUCAGCCACACUGGGACUGAGACACGGCCCAGACUCCUACGGGAGGCAGCAGUGGGGAAUCUUGCACAAUGCGCGAAAAACGUGAUGCAGCAAACGCCGCGUGCGGGAAGAAGGCCUAGGUUGUAAACCGCUUUCAGUUGGGACGAAGCUUUGGCGUUUAAUAGCGGUUUUGGAGUGACGGUACCUUCAGAAGAAGCGCCGGCUAACUACGUGCCAGCAAGCCG